rnacentral:misc_RNA from 1 species
AAGGAGUCUAACAUAUCUGCGAGUAUUUGGGUGUCAAACCCGAGUGCGCAAUGAAAGUGAACGGAGGAGCCACGCGCAAGCUGCAGCUUCUACCGAGCUGGAUCUUUAGUGAUGGAUUUUAGUAAGAGCAUAUAUGUUGGGACCCGAAAGAUGGUGAACUAUGCCUGAAUAGGGCGAAGCCAGAGGAAACUCUGGUGGAGGCUCGCAGCGCUUCUGACGUGCAAAUCGAUCGUCAAAUUUGGGUAUAGGGGCGAAAGACUAAUCGAACCAUCUGGUAGCUGGUUCCUGC